GUCGCUCAGUGGUAAAGCAUUUGCCUAGUAUGCAUAAGAGCUGGGUUCAAUCCCCAGGACC
rnacentral:tRNA from 1 species